rnacentral:rRNA from 1 species
GAACGCUAGCGGCAGGCCUAACACAUGCAAGUCGAGGGGUAACAGGGAGUGCUUGCACUCCGCUGACGACCGGCGCACGGGUGCGCACCGCGUAUGAAAUCUGCCUCUUGCUGGGGAAUAGCCCAUGGAAACGUGGAUUAAUGCCCCAUAGUACUAGUUGCGGCAUUGCAAUUAAGUUAAAGGUUUCGACCGGCAAGAGAUGAUCAUGCGUCCCAUUAGCUUGAUGGUAAGGUAACGGCUUACCAUGGCUACGAUGGGUAGGGGCCCUGAGAGGGGGAUCCCCCACACUGGUACUGAGACACGGACCAGACUCCUACGGGAGGCAGCAGUGAGGAAUAUUGGACAAUGGGCGAGAGCCUGAUCCAGCCAUGCCGCGUGCAGGAAGACGGCCCUAUGGGUUGUAAACUGCUUUUAUACAGGAAGAAAAAGGGGUACGUGUACCCUACUGACGGUACUGUAAGAAUAAGGACCGGCUAACUCCGUGCCAGCAGCCGCGGUAAUACGGAGGGUCCGAGCGUUAUCCGGAAUUAUUGGGUUUAAAGGGUCCGUAGGCGGGCCAUUAAGUCAGGGGUGAAAGUCUGCGGCUCAACCGUAGAAUUGCCUUUGAUACUGGUGGUCUUGAGUUAUGGUGAAGUGGCUGGAAUAUGUAGUGUAGCGGUGAAAUGCAUAGAUAUUACAUAGAACACCGAUUGCGAAGGCAGGUCACUAACCAUAUACUGACGCUGAUGGACGAAAGCGUGGGGAGCGAACAGGAUUAGAUACCCUGGUAGUCCACGCCGUAAACGAUGGAUACUAGCUGUCCGGAUCCUUGAGAUCUGGGCGGCCAAGCGAAAGUGAUAAGUAUCCCACCUGGGGAGUACGUUCGCAAGAAUGAAACUCAAAGGAAUUGACGGGGGCCCGCACAAGCGGUGGAGCAUGUGGUUUAAUUCGAUGAUACGCGAGGAACCUUACCAGGGCUUAAAUGUAUUUUGACAGGUUUAGAGAUAGACUUUCCUUCGGGCAAUUUACAAGGUGCUGCAUGGUUGUCGUCAGCUCGUGCCGUGAGGUGUCAGGUUAAGUCCUAUAACGAGCGCAACCCCUGUUGUUAGUUGCCAGCGAGUCAUGUCGGGGACUCUAACAAGACUGCCGGUGCAAACCGUGAGGAAGGUGGGGAUGACGUCAAAUCAUCACGGCCCUUACGUCCUGGGCCACACACGUGCUACAAUGGUAGGUACAGAGAGCAGCCAUGUCGCAAGGCAGAGCGAAUCUAUAAAACCUAUCACAGUUCGGAUCGGAGUCUGCAACUCGACUCCGUGAAGCUGGAAUCGCUAGUAAUCGGAUAUCAGCCAUGAUCCGGUGAAUACGUUCCCGGGCCUUGUACACACCGCCCGUCAAGCCAUGGAAGCUGGGAGUACCUGAAGUCCGUCACCGUAAGGAGCGGCCUAGGGUAAAAUUGGUAACUAGGGCU